rnacentral:rRNA from 1 species
AACGUAGGACGCAAGCGUUAUCCGGAGUUACUGGGCGUAAAGGGCGCGUAGGCGGCCUUCUAAGUCGAACGUGAAAUCCCCGGGCUCAACCCGGGAACUGCGUCCGAUACUGGAAGGCUUGAAUCCGGGAGAGGGAUGCGGAAUUCCAGGUGUAGCGGUGAAAUGCGCAGAUAUCAGGAGGAACACCGGUGGCGAAGGCGGGUCUCUGGGCAAUAACUGACGCUGAGGAGCGAAAGCGUGGGGAGCGAACAGG